UAGGGAAUAUUAAAAAUGGACGCAAGUCUGAUCUAGCAACACCGCGUGUGCGAAGAAGGCCUUCGGGUUGUAAAGCACUUUUUGGAAGGAUUAGGAAGGAAUGUACUUCCAGAAUAAGUCUCGGCUAACUACGUGCCAGCAGCCGCGGUAACACGUAGGAGGCAAACGUUAUCCGGAUUUACUUGGCGUAAAGCGCGUGCAGGUGGUUCUGUAAGUAGGGCGUGAAAGCUCCUGGCUCAACUGGGAGAGGCCGUUCUAAACUGCAGAGCUAGAGGAUGGUAGAGGGAGGUGGAAUUCCGGGUGUAGCGGUGGAAUGCGCAGAUAUCCGGAGGAACACCAGUGGCGAAAGCGGCCUCCUGGACCAUUCCUGACACUCAGACGCGAAAGCUAGGGUAGCAAACGG
rnacentral:rRNA from 1 species